AUAAGACUGACUCAGGUCUUCUCACUUGGAUCUGAAGACACUGCCAGACGCGUCAUGGUUAGCAGCCUGAGCCCCUGAACCCCUGGAUCAAGGAAGUGAGGAUUCGAAUUCAAGCUCUAUGACACCAGAAUGAUGUGACUAAUCACGCCUGCCGCAUGGAAUUAUUCUGGAGAGUAAACAGGCCCAAAGGAGGGAAAUCACAUCGUGAUUUCACAUCAUGAAAGCGCUCCUGCUCCUUGUGGCAGGGAGGCUUCCAGCCCCUCAAGGGACAGCCCUCCCCAGCGUCCUUUGUUUCGUUUCUGCACAAGGAAAGAUGCGCCCCAGCACCUACCAAUUGCUGGGAGGCCUCUGCACGGCAGCCCCAUGGGAAGAGCUUCUCUGGGGAGAGGUGGGACCCCGAGGACCAAGUCGCUGGGCCCAGGGAUCCUUCCCUGGGAUGAUGCUAACCCAGAGAUACAGGUAGAAUUAUGGGGGACAACUACUAGGUACUCAACCUCCACCAUUCUGGUAACACCCCGAUUUUCCUUUGGGGAGCCACCUCUCCAUCACGUUCAGCCCACAUCAGCCUCUGCAGUUGAUGCCCCACCCAAUCCAGGUCACAUGACCCCACGUGGCCAAUGGGCAUGUUCCAGGCCAGUCCAGGGACUCCCCACAGGCACCUGCCUAGUGAGCCUACUGAAGCUCAAUCCUCCAUACUCAGAAUUUUGGGGGUAAAGAAAAUCUCUUUCUUAACUUGGAAGGUCUGCGUCUGACUAGGAGUCACCUCACAGGACACCCAGUGUGACAGGAAAGCCAACAUAGAAGAAGGUAGUGGGGCACCUGGCUGGCUCAGUUGGAAGAGCAACCCACUCUUGAUCUUGGGGUGGUGAGCUCCAGGCCCACGAUGGGUGUAGAGAUGAAUGAAUGAAUGAAUGAAUGAAUGGGAGUAGAGCUCAGAAAGGUUGAGACAAAGUCCUGAGAACGUCAUAUAAGCCCCUAAAUCCAUCUGUGCCUGAAGUUUGCGUAUACUUGGACUUUCCACGUACACAAGUCAAUACAUUCUACUUUUUUCCAAAGCUGCUUUGAACCAGAUUUCUGACACUUGCAACCAAGGAGCUUCAACAGUGACCUCAAUUCAAUUCCACAAGUGUCUGUUGUGCCAGAUCAGGCUCAGUCUACACCAGCCACUCUAGGUUCUUAAAGUGAAGCAAAUUACAGGUCUUUAGCCAUGAACAGAUCACAAAAAAGAAAAACCUUUUCUGUUACCUGUGUCUAGCCAAUAAAUAGAAUCCAAAGCACAAGGGCCAUCCACUCUCUUUCCAUUGAGAAUAUCAGAAAUCUGAUUGGUGUGUGGUUAGAAAACAAAAUAU